rnacentral:rRNA from 1 species
CGUAGGUGGCAAGCGUUGUCCGGAAUUAUUGGGCGUAAAGCGCGCGCAGGCGGUUCCUUAAGUCUGAUGUGAAAGCCCCCGGCUCAACCGGGGAAGGUCAUUGGGAAACUGGGGAACUUGAGUGCAGAAGAGAAGAGCGGAAUUCCACGUGUAGCGGUGAAAUGCGUAGAGAUGUGGAGGAACACCAGUGGCGAAGGCGGCUCUUUGGUCUGUAACUGACGCUGAGGCGCGAAAGCGUGGGGAGCAAACAGGAUUAGAUACCCUGGUAGUCCACGCCGUAAACGAUGAGUGCUAAGUGUUAGAGGGUUUCCGCCCUUUAGUGCUGCAGCUAACGCAUUAAGCACUCCGUCCUGGGGAGUACGGCCGCAAGGCUG